rnacentral:rRNA from 1 species
UACGAAGGGGGCUAGCGUUGUUCGGAAUCACUGGGCGUAAAGCGCACGUAGGCGGAUCUUUAAGUCAGGGGUGAAAUCCUGGAGCUCAACUCCAGAACUGCCUUUGAUACUGAAGAUCUUGAGUUCGGGAGAGGUGAGUGGAACUGCGAGUGUAGAGGUGAAAUUCGUAGAUAUUCGCAAGAACACCGGUGGCGAAGGCGGCCUGCUGGGCAGUAGCUGACGCUGAGGC